GUAGUACUUCCUCCGUCCCAUAUUAAGUGCUGAAAUAUUGCAUGUAUCUAGAUGUAUUUUAGUAUAUAAAUACAUUCAUAUUUAGACAAAUUUAAGUCACUUAAUAUGGGACGGAGGGAGUAUUAU
rfam:Brachypodium distachyon strain Bd21 chromosome 1, whole genome shotgun sequence.